rnacentral:rRNA from 1 species
GAUGAACGCUGGCGGCGGGCCUAAUACAUGCAAGUCGAGCGAAUGGAUUAAGAGCUUGCUCUUAUGAAGUUAGCGGCGGACGGGUGAGUAACACGUGGGUAACCUGCCCAUAAGACUGGGAUAACUCCGGGAAACCGGGGCUAAUGCCGGAUAACAUUUUGAACCGCAGGGUUCGAAAUUGAAAGGCGGCUUCGGCUGUCACUUAUGGAUGGACCCGCGUCGCAUUAGCUAGUUGGUGAGGUAACGGCUACCCAAGGCAACGAUGCGUAGCCGACCUGAGAGGGUGAUCGGCCACACUGGGACUGAGACACGGCCCAGACUCCUACGGGAGGCAGCAGUAGGGAAUCUUCCGCAAUGGACGAAAGUCUGACGGAGCAACGCCGCGUGAGUGAUGAAGGCUUUCGGGUCGUAAAACUCUGUUGUUAGGGAAGAACAAGUGCUAGUUGAAUAAGCUGGCACCUUGACGGUACCUAACCAGAAAGCCACGGCUAACUACGUGCCAGCCGCCGCCGUAA